AAGAUUAUCAUUUCUCGUCCGAUAAAAUUGGAACGAUACAAGAUUAGCAUGACCUCUGUGCAAGGAUGACACACAUAAAUAUUUUGUUGAUACGUUCCCUU